UAGUAACUGCGAGUGAAGCGGGAAAAGCUCAAAUUUUGAAUCUGGCGGUCGUCACUGGCCGUCCGAAUUGUAAUCUAGAGAAGCGUCUUCCGCGCUGGUCCGUGUACAAGUCUCCUGGAAAGGAACAUCAUAGAGGGUGAGAAUCCCGUCUUUGACACGGACUACCAGUGCUUAUGUGAUGCGCUCUCAACGAGUCGAGUUGUUUGGGAAUGCAGCUCAAAAUGGGUGGUAAAUUCCAUCUAAAGCUAAAUACACGCGAGAGACCGAUAGCGAACAAGUACCGUGAGGGAAAGACGAAAAGAACUUUGAAAAGAGAGUUAAACAGUACGUGAAAUUGCUGAAAGGGAAACACUUGAUGUCAGUCGCGUUGAUUAGGGGUCAGCCUGGCUUAAUUGCCUGGUGUAAUUCCUAGUUGAUGGGUCAGCAUUAGUUUUUGGUUAUUGUACAAAGGCUUUGGGGAAAGUAGCAUUCUUUAGGGAAUGUAUUAUAGACCCUUAUGUUGAAUGCAAUGAUUAGGACUAAGGAUAGCUCUGCACGAAACUAGCUUUUU
rnacentral:rRNA from 1 species